rnacentral:sRNA from 1 species
CCGUUACAUCAUUUGGGUGACCUGCUUUAUCUAUAGAUGCACCUUCUACCAUUAAGAAGAAACCUUUAUCAUUUUCUUGUAAUUUAUUUACUGC